CCUACGGGGGGCAGCAGUGAGGAAUAUUGGUCAAUGGACGAGAGUCUGAACCAGCCAAGUAGCGUGAAGGAAGACGGCCCUAUGGGUUGUAAACUUCUUUUAUCUGGGAAUAAAAUGUUCCACGUGUGGGAUUUUGUAUGUACCAUAUGAAUAAGGAUCGGCUAACUCCGUGCCAGCAGCCGCGGUAAUACGGAGGAUCCGAGCGUUAUCCGGAUUUAUUGGGUUUAAAGGGAGCGUAGGUGGAUUGUUAAGUCCUUUGUGAAAGUUUGCGGCUCAACCGUAAAAUUGCAGUUGAAACUGGUUGUCUUGAGUACAGGAGAGGUGGGCGGAAUGCGUGGUGUAGCGGUGAAAUGCAUAGAUAUCACGAAGAACUCCGAUUGCGAAGGCAGCACACUGGACUGCAACUGACACUGAGGCUCGAAAGUGUGGGUAUCAAACAGGAUUAGAUACCCUUGUAGUC
rnacentral:rRNA from 1 species